CUCCUAUUCGUACAUCUUCCGAGCUUACCAUAUCUCACUAAUCUAAGUGGUUUAUACCUGUUAUAUUGCUUGUGUAGUUGCUGUACGGAAUGUUUCUUGUGCACCCUGUCUGUAUUUGAUAUAUUUAUCUGUAGUGAGUAUCUAAUGGUACGUUGGCUAGACGAGGAGUCUUAUUGAAACCACAGUCAGAUUUUCAUCAUGUGUCCUCUUGAUGCCCUAUUCACAAACUGACACUUUCGUGGCUGAAAUCUAUAAAUGUAUAGACCUCUUCUGAUCCCAUGCUGCUCUGCUUUCUGUCUACACAUCAGUUUGGCUGUGAUGAAUUCAGACCAAACAUGCUCAAUAGAGUAUUUUGCACAAACUUACUCAGACUUCCUGCACUAUUUAACCCCAGAAUCUUACUGAAUGUACACAUACAUUGUAAGACGGGGUUUGUUUUGUUCAUGGUUUUACAUUUGAUUACUUUUUGAUAUAGCCAUAGCCAGUGCAGGCAUAGGCAGAGGUUGGGGAAGCAUUGUCUAGCUGCCAAGUUCUCAAAGUAACUGGUAUUUGUAGAGGCAGAUAAAUCGGUUUGAUGCGAUACCUGCUCUCAAGGUAACCAAUAUGCAGGCUGCCUGGGUAUUACAUGUAUAUUGACAUGGGCUCUAGACACACAAUUAACCAAUACUUUUUAGGGCUUACGUCUGUUCUCUCUCUCUCUAAUGAUAGUUUCUUGGCCUAGUAGGAAAGGCUAUUUUGAAAUCCCUGUUGUGGUAAGUGAAGGCUUUAGAGAGAAUCUUGUCAUUUGUAAUGCUGUUG